rnacentral:rRNA from 1 species
ACUCCUACGGGAGGCAGCAGUGGGGAAUAUUGGACAAUGGGCGCAAGCCUGAUCCAGCCAUGCCGCGUGGGUGAAGAAGGCCUUCGGGUUGUAAAGCCCUUUUGUUGGGAAAGAAAAGCAGUCGGUUAAUACCCGAUUGUUCUGACGGUACCCAAAGAAUAAGCACCGGCUAACUUCGUGCCAGCAGCCGCGGUAAUACGAAGGGUGCAAGCGUUACUCGGAAUUACUGGGCGUAAAGCGUGCGUAGGUGGUGGUUUAAGUCUGUUGUGAAAGCCCUGGGCUCAACCUGGGAAUUGCAGUGGAUACUGGGUCACUAGAGUGUGGUAGAGGGUAGCGGAAUUCCCGGUGUAGCAGUGAAAUGCGUAGAGAUCGGGAGGAACAUCCGUGGCGAAGGCGGCUACCUGGACCAACACUGACACUGAGGCACGAAAGCGUGGGGAGCAAACAGGAUUAGAUACCCUGGUAGGAUAG